rnacentral:lncRNA from 1 species
AGAGUACCCCUCGCCUCCCAGUACCCCAACAUGGUAGGGAAGGAGAUUCUUUUUAAUUUUUUUGAGACAGAGUUUCGCUCUUGUCGCCCAGGCUGGAGUGCAGUGGCGCAAUCUCGGCUCACUGCAACCUCCGCCUCCCUGGUUCAAGUGAUUCUCCUGCCUCAGCCUCUCAAGUAGCUGGGAUUACAGGUGUCUGCCACCACACCCGGCUAAUUUUUGUAUUUUUUAGUAGAGACAGGGUUUCACCAUGUUGGCCGGGCUGGUCUUGAACUCCUGACCUCAGGUGAUCCACCUGCCUCAGCCUCCCAGAGUGCUGGGAUUACAGGCAUGAGCCACCGCACCCGGGUGGGCCACAGCGCCCAGCCAGGAAAGGAGAUUAUUGACUAAUACUUCCAUGGCCUUGGGGGCCCAGCUAUCUGGCAAAGCACAGCCCUGCCAUCUCCCUAGAAUCAUCCAUGUUGAAUAGAACCACCUUGACAAUCCACUUACUGGUGGUGACAUUCUAAAGGGCAGUUGCUAAGUUGCUUUCCAAGAGGCUGGGCCCUGCUGACCAGAGGGCCCCAGUCUUCUCUGAGCACAUGAUAUACGACUUGCUCUGAUAUCCUCUCAGGUUCUGCCUGUGAAGCAGCUCAAACCAAGACAACAGGUCCAGUGCUUGGCAGGACCAUGACUGGUGCACUGUCUUCUUGGUCAUGCUCUGAUUGGAGGAUUAUCCUUGGCCGGUGGUUCUCACCAGGAAAAGUGUGCUCUCCUGGGUCCCCUGCAAACCAACAAGGUGCCCGAAGAUGGUGUAAAAACACAGAUUUGUCCCACCUGGUUUCACCCCACUUUCCUCUCUGGUCCCAGGCCUCAGGGUCUGGACAUUUCUGCCAGGGAACAUCUGUUCUGCAGAGCAGCCAGGACUCCCCCUGCCACCCCCCACCAAGGAGUGGUUCUAAGUUAGCUUUCUCAUAAACGGUUCUCACAUGGAAGAAAAGCAGCUGUCGCUGAAGCCACGUCAAUCUGAGCGGUAAAAGGUUUGGGCAAAAACAUAUUUUAUUGUUCUUGCUGUCAGAAACAUAAAGAUUGAAGGGGCAUGUGACUCGGUAAUUGCUGUGGACUUUUUUUCCCCCUUGACAAUAAACAUAAAACUUAAAACUGUAUUAAAAUCAUUUGACAAUUUUUAUGCUCA